CGAAAGCCUGACGGAGCAACGCCGCGUGAGGGAUGAAGGCCUCUGGGCUGUAAACCUCUUUUAUCAAGGAAGAAGAUCUGACGGUACUUGAUGAAUAAGCCACGGCUAAUUCCGUGCCAGCAGCCGCGGUAAUACGGGAGUGGCAAGCGUUAUCCGGAAUUAUUGGGCGUAAAGCGUCCGCAGGCGGUUUUGUAAGUCUGUCGUUAAAGCGUGGAGCUUAACUCCAUUUAAGCGAUGGAAACUGCAAGACUAGAGUGUGGUAGGGGCAGAGGGAAUUCCCGGUGUAGCGGUGAAAUGCGUAGAUAUCGGGAAGACACCAGUGGCGAAGGCGCUCUGCUGGGCCAUAACUGACGCUCAUGGACGAAAGCCAGGGGAGCG
rnacentral:rRNA from 1 species